rnacentral:rRNA from 1 species
GACGAACGCUGGCGGCGUGCCUAAUACAUGCAAGUAGGACGCAGUUGCGAACGGGGGAGUAACGCGUAGGUAACUACCUAUUAGAGGGGGAUAACUAGUGGAUACGAUAGCUAAUACCGCAUACUAGUAGAUGGACCUGAGUUGUAUUAGUUAGUAGGUAGGGUAAUGGUCUACCUAGGAAACGAUACAUAGCCGACCCGGGAGGGUGAUCCGCCACACUGGGACUGAGGCACGGCCCAGACUCCUACGGGAGGCAGCAGUAGGGAAUCUUCGGCAAUGGGGGGAACCCUGACCGAGCAACGCCGCGUGAGUGAAGAAGGUUUUCGGAUCGUAAAGCUCUGUUGUUAAGGAAGCGGUACUUAACCAGAAAGGGACGGCUAACUACGUGCCAGCAGCCGCGGUAAUUC